UACGUAGGGUGCAAGCGUUAAUCGGAAUUACUGGGCGUAAAGCGUGCGCAGGCGGCUUUGCAAGACAGAUGUGAAAUCCCCGGGCUUAACCUGGGAACUGCAUUUGUGACUGCAUGGCUCGAGUGCGGCAGAGGGGGAUGGAAUUCCGCGUGUAGCAGUGAAAUGCGUAGAUAUGCGGAGGAACACCGAUGGCGAAGGCAGUCCCCUGGGCCUGUACUGACGCUCAUGCACGAAAGCGUGGGGAGCAAACAGG
rnacentral:rRNA from 1 species